rnacentral:rRNA from 1 species
UACGUUGGGACCAAGCGUUGUUCGGAUUUACUGGGCGUAAAGGGCGCGUAGGCGGCGCGGUAAGUCACUUGUGAAAUCUCUGAGCUUAACUCAGAACGGCCAAGUGAUACUGCAGUGCUAGAGUGUGGAAGGGGCAAUCGGAAUUCUUGGUGUAGCGGUGAAAUGCGUAGAUAUCAAGAGGAACACCUGAGGUGAAGACGGGUUGCUGGGCCAACACUGACGCUGAUGCGCGAAAGCCAGGGGAGCAAGCGGG